CCUACGGGGGGCAGCAGUGGGGAAUUUUGGACAAUGGGCGCAAGCCUGAUCCAGCCAUGCCGCGUGCGGGAAGAAGGCCUUCGGGUUGUAAACCGCUUUUGUCAGGGAAGAAAUCCUUUGAGCUAAUACCUCGGGGGGAUGACGGUACCUGAAGAAUAAGCACCGGCUAACUACGUGCCAGCAGCCGCGGUAAUACGUAGGGUGCGAGCGUUAAUCGGAAUUACUGGGCGUAAAGCGUGCGCAGGCGGUCUUGCAAGACAGGUGUGAAAUCCCCGGGCUUAACCUGGGAACUGCACUUGUGACUGCAAGGCUGGAGUACGGCAGAGGGGGAUGGAAUUCCGCGUGUAGCAGUGAAAUGCGUAGAUAUGCGGAGGAACACCGAUGGCGAAGGCAAUCCCCUGGGCCUGUACUGACGCUCAUGCACGAAAGCGUGGGGAGCAAACAGGAUUAGAUACCCUGGUAGUCCACGCCCUAAACGAUGUCAACUGGUUGUUGGACGGCUUGCUGUUCAGUAACGAAGCUAACGCGUGAAGUUGACCGCCUGGGGAGGACGGCGCGAGUAGAACGACAANAGAGUGACGGCGUGAGACGUGCCGACGGACGACGACGAGGGAGGUUAGGG
rnacentral:rRNA from 1 species